UUGGCUAUUAUUUAUAUUUUAUACUGUAUUAAUAAAGGAAUAUUGGCUCUUUUAUCAUAUUUUUGCCAUAUACCUUUUUUAUCUCAUUUUAUCAAUUUCCUGGUACCCGGUUACUUUUCACCUUGGAGUCUACAUACAGCCAAGAAUCCUGGGUGGGGAUUGUACCACUCGUGCGUUUAUAUUGAGCAGUCUAUUCUGCUCAUCUGAAUUCAAGACUUCGCUCGCAUUAGAAGAUCCUGUUUCUCAUUGAAUACAUUACUCCUUUGCCGAACACAGUAAGAGACGAACAUUAAGGACUGAGAUCUUCAUCUAUCCAUUGGAAUUUAUCUUAAGUACACCAAGU